rnacentral:rRNA from 1 species
AUUGAACGCUGGCGGCAUGCCUUACACAUGCAAGUCGAACGGCAGCACGGGUGCUUGCACCUGGUGGCGAGUGGCGAACGGGUGAGUAAUACAUCGGAACAUGUCCUGUAGUGGGGGAUAGCCCGGCGAAUGCCGGAUUAAUACCGCAUACGAUCUACGGAUGAAAGCGGGGGACCUUCGGGCCUCGCGCUAUAGGGUUGGCCGAUGGCUGAUUAGCUAGUUGGUGGGGUAAAGGCCUACCAAGGCGACGAUCAGUAGCUGGUCUGAGAGGACGACCAGCCACACUGGGACUGAGACACGGCCCAGACUCCUACGGGAGGCAGCAGUGGGGAAUUUUGGACAAUGGGCGAAAGCCUGAUCCAGCAAUGCCGCGUGUGUGAAGAAGGCCUUCGGGUUGUAAAGCACUUUUGUCCGGAAAGAAAUCCUUGGCCCUAAUACGGUCGGGGGAUGACGGUACCGGAAGAAUAAGCACCGGCUAACUACGUG